GACGAACGCUGGCGGCGUGCUUAACACAUGCAAGUCGAACGGAAAGGCCCUGCUUUUGUGGGGUGCUCGAGUGGCGAACGGGUGAGUAACACGUGAGUAACCUGCCCUUGACUUUGGGAUAACUUCAGGAAACUGGGGCUAAUACCGGAUAGGAGCUCCUGCUGCAUGGUGGGGGUUGGAAAGUUUCGGCGGUUGGGGAUGGACUCGCGGCUUAUCAGCUUGUUGGUGGGGUAGUGGCUUACCAAGGCUUUGACGGGUAGCCGGCCUGAGAGGGUGACCGGACACCUGUGGACUGCAACACGGCCCAGACGACUACGGGAGGCAGCUGUGGGGAACACGACACGAGGGGCCGAGGCCUUCUGCACCAGCGCCGGGGCGGGGAUGCCGCUGUGCGUGUUGUAACCCGCUUCGUCCGGGGCCGAAGCGGGAGUGACGGUAAGGCGUAAAGAACAACCGCCUAACAGCGUGCCAGCAGCCGCGUUAUUACGAAGAGCCCCCGCCUGAAC
rnacentral:rRNA from 1 species